UGAUUGGGUCAACAUGUUAAUCGU
rnacentral:siRNA from 1 species